ACAGAUCCGGUGGACUCCCUCUGUCCAUCCCUCGCUAGCCCUACCUCGUCCCCUGUCUCCAGGGGCAGCCGCUGCAUCUCGGUCCCCUCUCCCUCCGACAUGGCCGCUCCCAUCCACCGCCCACCCCCGCCGCCGCUGCCCUCACCCUCUCCCUGCCCAGGCCCCACAUCAAGCAGCGGCCAUGGCGUUCCCGGCCGCCGCGGUGCGUGAUUCCCACCUCUACCUCUGCCUCGCCGUGGAUGGGAAGGAGAUCGGAAUCCUCCAUGGACGGACGCACUGAUGGGGGUCUUGUCUGACGACGGAGGCGGAUCACCAGGAGGAGUUGCCGUGAGACGACACCGACGGUCGGCUCCUUCUCCACAACAACACAACACCGACCGUGGGGACUCCCGUUCUUCCACCCUGACGGCCUCUCCUCCGGCGCCCCUGUUCUUCUUCCACUCCGGCACGAUGGUGCAUGACAGAGCCGGCUGCAUGUGGUGCGUGCGGGGGGAUUCUUCUUCCACUCUGGCAAUCUGAGAGCAGCCAAGCAAGGUUAUUGAGAUAUGUAUCUUGCGAUUCUUUGUGUGUCGGUUACGUCUGCGGGUACGGCUGCACGAGUUCAUGUUUGUCAUUCACACAUGCAAAUUGUGAUGCCUGCUGCUUGCGACAGUUUCGCCCCUGUUCUUCUUCUACUCCGGCAAGAUGGUUUCCUCACACACACAGGUCCACAACAGAGCCGGCUACAUGUUGUGUGUGUGCGCGCGGGGGGGGGGGGGGGGGGGGGGGGGGGGGUUCUCCUUCCACUCCGGCAAUCUGGAUUCAAACUUGGUUCUGAAAAGCACACCACAGAGGUCACCGUGAAGAAGUCUGGAAGCCUGCUUAUAAAUUCUGGGAUACAAGGAUACUCCCUGCUAAAGACAACUCAGUCUGGAUUUGAAGGAUUCGUGAGGGAUCGCUACACCCUUCUUCCUGAAACAAGAGAAAGAAUUGUAGCUACAGAAGUUACUGCUUGGUGGAGGUUUGGGCACUCUUCCCCAUCUGCCUGAAAUGUUCUCUUUUUGCACAAUGCUGAUGGUCAUUCAACCCUUUUAUUUAUUGUCCAUAGUAAUUCUUCAAUUCAAGGCGACAAAUCAAGUGUCAGUAUUACUAUGAUAUUUUUAAGUUGGACUGUCGCUUGUUUGUCCAGUGGAGUAGCACUUCUAUUGCUGUUGGUCUUGGACAAGCAUAGUUCUUUUACACAUACUGUUGCCAGUAUCUUUUGGGUUUUCAAGCUAAUAUGAGCCAUGUUACAAGUUAUGUAGAGGAGCUCAUGACAAAUUAUUAGCUUUUAAAUUGCAUGUCUACUCCAAUACAUGUCAAAGUACUACCUUUUAUAUGCCCACAGUGUAUAUUCCGCAGGCUGCACACAUCUUAGAAACUUUCCGAUGCUUGCUUACUACUCCCUCUGUCCCAAAAUAAGUGUCUCAACUUUGUACUAACUUUAAUAUAAAGUUAUAUUAGAGUUGAGACACUUAUUUUGGGACGGAGGGAAUACAACUUUGUCUAAAAGCUUCCUUCCCUGUACUUUUGGCAUAGCUUAGAUUUUUGUUGUCACCUCUCUUGGGCAUUAGGGGAUAUCCUACAGCUCAAAGCAUUUCUGAUCUGAUCCUAAUCCGCUUUUGGGCUUAUGGAUUUCUUAAAAUUCGUUUACUUAAGAAUACAGUUUCCGGUGUUUACUGAAUAUAACGUGCUUUCUUUUGCAUACUUUUGGUAGUUUUUCCGAACGAUUGAUCACAUAGAUGGUUCUGGAUGGCCAGAUAUAUCCACUUAAUACACUGUGCUAAUAGAUUUGCCUUAUAGCACACUAUCUAUGCUAAUAGUUUCGCCUUAUAGUGCACUACCUGUGCUUAAAUAGUUUUGUAGACAUUUGAAGCCUCUUGGCUGACAAAGUUCAAUCUACAAGGUGCAUGAUGAAGGAUAUGAAAGCUGUAGCAAAAGUACUUGCUGAUGCUUCCAAUGAUUUAAGCUAAUACUAUAAAGCAUUGCAUCUAAUACAUAUUCUUUAUAAAUAAAUAAGAUUUGGUAUUUGGUUUAAAGUCCAAAGUUUGCUUGAAAGAAGUUUUGGAAGCUGAUUUUUUUUUCUGUCAUGUCUACUAGGAACAAAAAGGAAAUGCCUACAUGUCAAAUCCUCAUAUGCAACACGGAUGUCUUGUAUUUAUGGGAUUGUUCUCAUGUGAUAGUUUUUCCUAUGUAAUAUGAACUUAUAUAAAGGCACAAGAUUGCUCUUCAUUUUUUGCAGACCCAAUAGAGGUGCAUAGAGAAGAGACUUGAUUAGUCUACACUAUGUCUUGUUGAUUGCAAAUACCACUUUGACUCAUCUCAUCCCCUCGAUUCAUGCUUGUUUUCUUUAUUUUGGCUAUUGAUCCAUAUAUUGGAUGCCCUCGGACGUAGCACAAUGUCAAUGCUGACAUAUGAGUUUUUUCUCUCAGCAGAUGAGAGUCUGGAAUGUUCCAUCCAAAUAGUUUAAUCAGAAACUGCACUGGCAAAGGUCUAGAGGAUGUAGAGGAGCUCCAGUUUGAUCCUAAGGAUGGCAUUGCUUUUUUUUCUUCUUAUGCUCCAGUUUGCAGCAACAUCUCCGACACCCUCUCGACGAAUUGCAGGUAGAUUGUAGCUGAGGAUGCGGCGAUGACCACCGAGGUAUGCCCUUCUCUCCUUGCCCUUCAUGCUGGCUUCAACAAGGCCGAAAGAUCUUCAGUCUUUUACAAGGUCAACCCCGCCUUCCUUGCAAUCAAUCUGCUGGCGACAGUAGAAAUUAACAGUCCUUUGUAUGUGUUACUACAUGGUGGAUAUACGUGCAGGACCGGAGUGCAUGCUCGGUGGCAGAAGCAUCAGGGUGCUCCACGCUCAACAUCUUCUCAGCAUAGCUGCUCGAUCAGUAGUUUUGAUUGAUCUAUUUGAUAAUUUAAGCCAUCCAGUUGAUGUUCUUGGUUCGCUCAUGCUCUUUUCUUAUGUUGUUGUUUAAUCACUAUUGGCUUGGAUAUUCUCUAUAGCAUCUCAACAAUUCACUGCAAUUGGCCAGGUUAUUCUGUAUAUUUGAUACUGUACGAGAGUAGCAGUCAGACUCAAAAAAUCACAACAUUCUGCAGGUACAGCAACCACUUGACGCCGAGCCUUGAUCUCAUUUUUAUGAGUAGGUUAUAAAUUUUUAGUAACUAAAUUCACAUUAGUUUUUGAAGCACAAAUUGAUGUCUGUAAGUUAUUUAGGAUAACAUUUUGCUCCAUUUGGUAGAUAUAUAACAAGAUAAUAUAGAGGGAUGUAGAGAGCUAUUUUGUUUGUUAAAAUAAACAGUGGAAACGGUUAGUUUUAAUCAGAUAUGUUUGCUGAAAUCCAUUUGGAUUUUUUUCUCUUUUCUUAGUUUGGUCGCACAUGGAUCAGCUUAGCGUGUCUACCUUUUUCACUAAAGUGUGGAUAUUUAUGUAUAGAGUAAAACGUGUCCAUGCUAUUUAUUUUCCAUAGUCAUUGUUGCCUAUACCAUAUUUACAUUGCUGUCUUUAUUGUCCUUAUCUGAUGAUAGCCCAUUGGGAAAUGAAAGAAAGUGGGUUAAAUACUUUGUUUCUUUAUUUUAGGUCCAAAUUUACAUUGAUUGUUUAGUGGUUCAUCGAAAUUCUUCUGCCUAUGACUUUGAAAUUGGCCAGUAAAAGCCAACAUCCACCCUCUUCACAGCCGCAGUCAGGGAUUCGUUCAUUUUAGUGUGAGUAAGGAUGGGAACAUUGAUCUAUAUAUGGUAAUAUUUCAUGCUGAUUUCAUUUCUCAUUUCAUUGAUCAUCCAUGUUACUCCUUUGACAAAUGAUAUUUAUAGUACUUCUGGAUGACAAAGACUUCGAGUUCUGUGUGAAGCUCCAAAAGGAAUACCUAUAAGAUUCCUUCAUCAACUUAGUAAGAUUGCAUAUGCCCUUUGUGUUGCACAGGUCCAACGCCUCGCUCCUCUACUCAUAGUGAAAAAAAACUUAGGUACUCUGAAAUUUAUCUUUUCUUCCCCUCACGCUUUGUUAGGUUAGAUCAAUAGUUUUAUCUUAUUGGACCUGUGCAUUUUGAGAGUCCGAAAUGGGAACAUUAAAUAUACUUGGACCCUAUCUUAUUCUCAUAUCUGUAACUAGCUUUGCUUGUCAUUUAGAAGGGACGACCUAAGGAGUAGAGAGAUUCGAGACAAUCAAAAUCCUGCAUAUGUAUGUUUACAGGCGUUUGAUAAUCCUACGCCAGGGCCACAUAUAUAGGGACAUUCAAAAUUCUACACCAGGUUCACGUAUAUAGGGACAUAUUCAGCUGAGGUUCACGUAUAUACAAACCUGAAACUGUAUGCUUCAAACCGGAUGUGGCAGUAAUCCACUCAUCAUGCAAAACAAAACAAAAAUCUGUUACCUAGCAUGUAUUUGUUUGUACAGAUGAUGCAAUGUACUACAUUUUGUUUGCAUAAUACAUCACCUAGCAUGUAUUUGUUAUAAUCGAGCACCGUGACGAAUCUGUUAUUUACCUUAGGAGGGUAAGAAAAAACACAAUCAAUGAUAUUAUACAUAAUUCUAGACAUUGUUUUAGAGUAUGUUAUAAAGUAUAUUUUUCUUCUAGUAAAUGUUGGAAAUGUCUAUGUACUUUUUUCUCCCAAUAUGUUAUGGUCAUUUUCCUGCUAUGCAUAUAAAUUUCAUGGCCAGCUUACCAACUGGUGGUUGGCGAUCCUUUCUAUCUUCUUCCUCGCCGGCUCGAUAAAUCUCUCGGUUUCCUUCUCCUACCACUCUUCCUCCCUUGUGCUCUGUAACUCGGCCAUUGAUGUGGCUGUUAGUAAUAAGAUGGUAAUAUUUGUUUUAUAGAAAUACUUGUUUUUUGCGGGUGUUUAGAAAUACUUGUUAGUUGCACAGGUGUACCCUGCAAGGAAUAAUUUUACAAUGGAAAUGCAUAUCUGUUGAAUUGAUUAGUUGCACAGGUGUACCCUGCAAGGAAUAAUUUUACAAUGGAAAUGCAUAUCUGUUGAAUUGAUGACUAAACAAGUUUGCGGGCACAUCUCUGAAAAUACAAGCAAAUACAGACAUAGAUUUAAGGGUUCUCAUUCAUUUAAAUCUCAAUGUUGAGAGAAGCCGAUCUUUGGAUAUGAGUAUUUUCUUCCCUGUUUGCGUGAUUGUUUAAUUGAAUGGAUAACUAUGUCUCCUGAAUAUUGUCCCAUAUAAUUGUUUUAAAUCUACCGAAUUAGUUCUCUAAAUCAGUUGAUAUUUUGCAAAGCUUCAAGCUUUAGUUUUUGCACUUCAUGACAUCAAUUGUCUGUGCAGAUUCAAGAUUUAUUUCUGUACUGGAUGAUAGCAGUGAUUAGUGGAUUACUGUCACAUGCUGCUGUUGUCAUCCAUAUCUCCUCAGGUGCCUUAGGUUUGUGAUGCGAAAGUUGUUGUACAUAUGUAAAUUGUUCUGUUCUUCUUUCGCCAAAACAUUAAUAAGCCCGCGAUACACUUUGCUUCUUUUUUAUCUAAUGUCUAUUUGUAGACUAAGUGUUUUAUUUAUGAUAGUGGAUUUCUGGCGUACAUGUGAAUAUCUCAUGUAUAUACAAUCAGUACAUUCACCUGAACGAGAAUGUUAGCAAGCAGAGCGGGGUUGCGUCUUGUCCUUCUAGCAUCGAAGGUCCGGUGCACCCAUGUGUGUGCCUUUGCUGGUUUCUGACUGUCACAAAGAAGUCAGAGCUGUGGGCGGCGAGGCCACUGCGGCAACAAUGGCUAUGAGGACAGUUUUCAGCAAGCGGUGCUCCCCGAAUGUUGCGUUGAACUACGUCGUUGCAUGGCUUGCAACCUUCUCCUAUAAAGCCCGUAUGCAAAAUCGAAACUGUCAUGUCCUCGGUGUUGUGCUCGACUAUUCAUUGUUGCUUUGUGGCUCCGUGCUUCCUCUCCACAGUUAUAUCGUUUUUUGUGAUGUAAUCUUAUUAGUGGUUGGGUCAUCCAUGCGAGCCCCUUCUGAAGUUUGUAGUCUAGGUUAGAUACAUCCGUAUGUAGACAAAUUGAAGACAAAUAAUAUGGAAAGGAGGGAGUAUAUUAUUUGACUCAA